AAUACCCCAAUACCCCAAUACCCCAAUAUUUCUUCUUCCUCCUUUCACUCAUUUUGAUUACCCAGUAAACCCAAACCCCCUUUCCUUCUCCCUUGUUUUAAAGCUUUAAACCCGACAUUCCCUUCUUCCUCAUUCUCACCGGCAUAAUCGAAGACAACGCGCGUUACUCCUCAAUCCUCUUCUUCCUUUGAUCUUCGAAGGAUUUGGGCUGCGAAAAAUCAGUUGAUUUUCCUCUCUUUCGUGAUUUUUCAAGGUAAAUGAUCAAUUAUUCUACAUUCUUGGUUGUUUGUAUAAAUUAUGGCUAAUUGAUCUUUCUUUCUCACUCACCUCUGAAUUCGAACCAUAAGGAGUGUUGUAGCAGCCGAAAUCUUCCUCCCUUUGCCUCUGAACUCUGCCGAAAUGGGGAGGAAGUGAGUGAGGUUUGGUCCUGUUGUUUAAGCAUCAAGAUCAAGUUGAAAAACCAAAUUUCGAAAUCUGUUUUUUUUCCAUUUACUUGCUGCUGUCCACAGAGGAGACAACGUCAUCGAGGAACCUUUCUAGUGAUCGCGGAGAAACGGACUUAGCUCUUGGACGCAUCUUUGAUUGAUUAUAGAUCGAUAGCAGCCGGGAACGAAGUGAUAUAAGAGGUGAUGAGAGAGCGCUAGCAGAUCUCUUUGAUUGAGGAUUUGAUUGCUUGCGUGAGUUAGAUUAGUUGGCUGUAGAAUUGUGUAAUAGAAUUGACUCUGUAGUUUUGUUUUGAGUACCCAUACACUUUGAUGUUUUGUUGGUUUGGAUUUUGUAUAGCUGUUGAGAUUGAGGCUAGCUGUCACAGAUGAGAAUUUAGAUAUUUGUAAUCCGAUUUUAUAGCGCAUUAUGUUGAAUUUGACUUCAUUUUUUUGGGUUUAUGAAUACAUGACAACUUCUCUUA